UACGUAGGUGGCAAGCGUUGUCCGGAUUUACUGGGCGUAAAGAGCGCGCAGGCGGCUGGGCAAGUCCGAUGUGAAAGCUUCCGGCUUAACUGGAAAAUUGCAUUGGAAACUGCUCGGCUUGAAGGUGGGAGAGGGUAGCGGAAUUCCCGGUGUAGUGGUGGAAAUGCGUAGAUAUCGGGGAGGAACACCAGUGGCGAAGGCGGCUACCUGGCCCAUUCUUGACGCUGAGGCGG
rnacentral:rRNA from 1 species